rnacentral:rRNA from 1 species
UACAGAGGGUGCAAGCGUUGUUCGGAAUUAUUGGGCGUAAAGCGCGUGUAGGCGGCUUUGUAAGUCGGGUGUGAAAUCCCUCAGCUUAACUGAGGAAGUGCGCCCGAAACUGUGAGGCUUGAGUACCGGAGAGGAUGGCGGAAUUCCCCAAGUAGAGGUGAAAUUCGUAGAUAUGGGGAGGAACACCGGUGGCGAAGGCGGCCAUCUGGACGGUAACUGACGCUGAGGUGCGAAAGCGUGGGGAGCAAACAGG